rnacentral:tRNA from 1 species
UUUUUGGUUGUCCAGUGGUUAGGACUCCACACUCUCACUGCCUUGGCCCGGGUUCAAUCCCUGGUCAAGGAA